rnacentral:rRNA from 1 species
GAGUUUGAUCGUGGCUCAGGACGAACGCUGGCGGCGCGCUUAACACAUGCAAGUCGAACGGGCGCCUUCGGGCGUCAGUGGCGAACGGGUGCGUAACACGUGAGCAACCUGCCUGGAGUUGGGGGAUAACCUCGGGAAACCGGGGCUAAUACCGCAUGAGAUCGAGAGAUGAAAGCAGGGGACCGCAAGGCCUUGCGCGAGAGGAGCGGCCGAUGCCGGAUUAGCUAGUUGGUGGGGUAACGGCCUACCAAGGCGACGAUCCGUAGCUGGUCUGAGAGGACGACCAGCCACACUGGGACUGUGACACGGCCCAGACUCCUACGGGAGGCAGCAGUGGGGAAUUUUGGACAAUGGGGGCAACCCUGAUCCAGCCAUGCCGCGUGUGUGAAGAAGGUCUUAGGAUUGUAAAAUCCUUUCAGCGGGGACGAUAAUGACGGUACCCGCAGAAGAAG